CCGGGCACCAUCUUGGAUUUUAUCGUCCAAGCGGCUGCCUACAGAGAAGGAAGUAGGAGUUGGAGGGGCAGUCCAUGAGCUGGAGGGAAGGAGAGAAGGGCAAGGAUGCUAGCAUUAUUUUGAAAUGUCUAACAGAUGCUGGUGAUACUGCAGGAGCCCAGAGGGUGCAUGGGCUUUGAUAUGUUCAUAGAUACAACAAGUAGCCAUGUGUCCCUUCUGCCAGAGGGAAGGAAGAGUACUCUUUUGGGAGAUGGAACAGUUUCACAAGGUCCUGAGGAAGUUGGCUUUUAUCUGACCACCAGAAGCCGUCCUAGUCUAGGUCGGGCUACUUUCUGAUUAUCUGAAUUGCCUUUUCAAGUCUGGGGAACUGGAGUUUCCUUUGAACCUGACACCAACUUAUUGGUAAGCAGCAAUUUUCAGCAUGCCUCCUGAGGUGUAGGAUCACCUAGCCAUUCCACAAGUACACCCUCAGCCUCUUGGAAGACCCACAGACUCUGCCGAGAACUGUAGAAACCAAUUGCAUGCAUCAACUCUAGACCUUGAAGGAGACUUUUUUUUUUCUGUCCCUAGUAAGAGUCACAGAACUUUAAAAAUGACAGGUCUUCUCUCAGCUGCCAGACUCAGGAGGUGGCGACCACCUGCAUGGGAUCCUCGCAGAGUAACUAAAACAGCCAUAAGACACCAAGCAGAGGACCCAGAGCGGAAGAGCAGUGGAUAUGGAAUUCACUUCCUCUGUGUCUGAAGCAAGGACUUAGACUCAAGCAACGUAUUAAAGAGGUGACCCAAAGUGCAGAAGAAGAAUAACUGUUAAUCCUGGGAGUCACAAAAAAAUAAAUAGAUAAAUAAAUAAAAGAACCAAGUCCACAAUUGAA